CGGAGUGUAGUUCAGUUUGGUAGAACGCUCGGUUUGGGACCGAGAGGCUCGCAGGUUCAAAUCCUGUCACUCCGAC
rnacentral:tRNA from 1 species